GAAAGAGAGUAAAAUGUACUUUAAUUUGUACAUUUUAUUCAUUAGUAAGUCUUCUCCAUUCCCUAUUACAUUACUAUAAUUGUAAUACAUUUAAAUGCAUUUAUUUCGUCUACAUUCAUUAUGUAAAGAAUCUCAGGGUGUAAACUGCUGGUUAAUAUUUUCUAGUGAAGAAUUGAUGGAUUUCAGAGAAGGUCCAGGGAUGAACAAUACUGUAUUAUCACUUGUAAGAUGAUUCUCAUUGUGAUAGAUGCAGCAGCAUCUCUAACUUCAAGAAUUUCAUUAAGUCUAAUGGUAGAGGCAGGAAAGUGUCAUCACACAAAAAUGGGCCAGAUUCAAAGUCAGAAGAAUAUGUCUUGCUGGUUGCAGCUAUGACAGGGAUUUCAUACUUGCCAGCUGAUCUAAAUUUUAAGGUAGGAGUUAACUGAAAAUCCUUGAGAAAGACAAGGGCAACAUGGAGAAAGACAGACAGAAUAAUGCUAGAAUGGAAAAGAAGGCACAGUUUACGAAACUGCUCACACACAUUUUUGGCUAGCAUGACAGUAUGCCAGAUUAACUUAUUUGUUUCAUGUAUAAUUUUAAAACGGAAACAUUUAUACCUCUGAAAGUACAAAUGUUGAGACAGAUGUGGAUUUCCAUUUUUUUAUUUCACCAAAUCCCCUGGCUUUAAAGGAGUUAGCCCAAAGUUAUGAAGAGUUGUGGAGCACCACCCAGC